rnacentral:rRNA from 1 species
UACAGAGGGUGCAAGCGUUAAUCGGAAUUACUGGGCGUAAAGAGUGCGUAGGUGGUUGGAUAAGUUAGGUGUGAAAUCCCUGGGCUCAACCCAGGAACUGCGCUUAAAACUGUUCAGCUAGAGUAUUGUAGAGGAUAGUGGAAUUUCCAGUGUAGCGGUGAAAUGCGUAGAUAAUUGGAAGGAACACCAGUGGCGAAGGCGAACUAUCUGGGCAA